UUUCUGUAGGUGAACCUGCGGAAGGAUCAUUAAAGAACGCCCCGUUUUUUGAAAUGGGUAAUUCUAAACCGUGUAUACAUACCUUUGUUGCUUUGGCAGGCCGCCCCUCAGGGCGUCGGCUCCGGCUGACUGCGCCUGCCAGAGGACCCAAACUCUUUUGUUUAGUGAUGUCUGAGUACUAUAUAAUAGUUAAAACUUUCAACAACGGAUCUCUUGGUUCUG
rnacentral:misc_RNA from 1 species